rnacentral:tmRNA from 1 species
GGGGGCGAAAGGUUUCGACUUUGAUAGGCUUGACAAGAGCAGCAUGUUGAGGUUGUCAGGAGGCCUCAUUAAACACCUGGCACAAAUUAAACGCCAACUACAAUGCAGUAGCUGAAGCGGAAGCGAUCCUUGCUUCUAGCGAGGCGGUAGCUGUUGCCUAAUUAGGCAACCCGUUUACAGAUCUUGCCUGCGAGGUCUGAUAAACGCCGUUAGCAGGCUGGCUUGCCAACUUUAUGUUUUUUAGUGGCUGGCGAGGAGCAUAGAAAAGACUAUGCUUGAUAUAAUCCCGUCUGCUGGAUAGUAUCAAGUGAGACUGGAAAAGCAGACUAAGCAUGUAGAUACUCUUAUUGGGAUGUUAAAGGACGCGGAUUCGAAUUCCGCCGCCUCCACCA